GCAAAGAAAUGAAAAAGACCAUGGACGAAAUCACCGGUCGGUUGCGCCGCAUUCAGUCUGGGGAAGGAGCAGACGCUGGCUGUGCCUGGAACACGCGCCAGGCACCGGCCUCGCGACGACGACCCUCAGAGUUCUGGGUGGCUCAGUGUCGUCAUCGCACAGAUGAGACGGCUGGGGCGCGGGCAGGUGAACGGCGUGCACCCGACCUCACCGCAGGUUUGUGGCGGAGUCGGGACAGGACUGGAUCGGAAUGUUUCCGUUACAGGCCCCGCUGGGUGCCGGAACUCAGACCAGCGUCGGGACACACGAGUGCAAACCUGUGUGAAACUUGUUACAAACCACAGGUCUCAAAUCUUAACACUGCUGGUGGUGAAGAAACAACCCAACUCUAAAUUCUUAAAUCCAGUCACACAGCUUCAAGUUAAGUUAUGACCAAAUAUAUUACGGAACGAAAAUAGUGUGGGGUACUCUUAUUAAACUCUAAGUGCUCGCAUUCAACUUAAAGACGUUUUGCAUGUUUUCAUCAAUUGUCUUUGUCCCUUUACUUUGGCUUAACUUUGGAAAUAAAUGAUGGGAUUUUAUUUCUAAA